GACUUAUUUGUGUCUAUUUCCCUGCUAGAUCAGGAACCCCAUCAGGGCAGGAAGAGACCAGGUCUGAUAACAUUUGCUGCUCCGGGGCUGGGCACACAGUGGUGCCCCUGGUGAGCAGACUGAAUGAAGGAAUGGCAGAAAGAAGCAGGUGGUUCGAACUAAGCCAGGUGCCUCGUGCGCCUCCUCCCACUGAAUCCUCACACAGCUGAGGAGGCACAGGGUAACAGGAGAGCCAGCCACCCUCUCUGCCCUGCGUGGCUUGGGAUACUGACACCAAACCACAGAGCGUGCCGUACCUGAACAAUUUGCGUUUUCUGGGUCCACAAUGAGCUCUACAUGAACAUACAUUGACUGGUCAUCACGCAGGUGGGGACUGUUAUCAUCCUUAUGCAGCAGAUAGGAGCCUGGAAGAACACUCCUGAUCUCACAUUGACACGAUAUCCAUUCUGCCUACGUUCUGGUUUAUUGGUGAAAGCAAGCACAAGUUAAGGCUUUAAGAACUUAGAUACAGAGGAAGGCCUGUCUACACCACGGGAACGCUGAGGGAAGA
ensembl:lncRNA